rnacentral:rRNA from 1 species
GAUGAACGCUAGCUACAGGCUUAACACAUGCAAGUCGAGGGACCGGCGUACGGGUGAGUAACGCGUAUCCAACCUUCCCAUUACUGUGGGAUAACCUGCCGAAAGGCAGACUAAUACCGCAUAGUAGUGGAUGGGGAUGCGUCGGAUUAGCUUGUUGGAGGGGUAACGGCCCACCAAGGCGACGAUCAGUAGGGGUUCGGAGAGGAAGGUCCCCCACAGUGGAACUGAGACCCGGUCCAAACUCCUACGGGAGGCAGGAGUGAGUACGAUUGGUCAAUGGACGGAAGUCUGAACCAGCCAAGUAUCGGGCAGGAUGACGGCCUAUGGGUUGUAAACUGCUUUUGUAGGGGGAUAGGUACCAAAUGAAUAAGGACCGGCUAAUUCCGUGCCAGCCGCCGCGGUAAUUC